UUUAUGGAGAGUUUGAUCCUGGCUCAGGAUGAACGCUGGCGGCGUGCCUAAUACAUGCAAGUCGAGCGAACGGACGAGAAGCUUGCUUCUCUGAUGUUAGCGGCGGACGGGUGAGUAACACGUGGAUAACCUACCUAUAAGACUGGGAUAACUUCGGGAAACCGGAGCUAAUACCGGAUAAUAUUUUGAACCGCAUGGUUCAAAAGUGAAAGACGGUCUUGCUGUCACUUAUAGAUGGAUCCGCGCUGCAUUAGCUAGUUGGUAAGGUAACGGCUUACCAAGGCAACGAUGCAUAGCCGACCUGAGAGGGUGAUCGGCCACACUGGAACUGAGACACGGUCCAGACUCCUACGGGAGGCAGCAGUAGGGGAUCUUCCGCAAUGGGCGAAAGCCUGACGGAGCAACGCCGCGUGAGUGAUGAAGGUCUUCGGAUCGUAAAACUCUGUUAUUAGGGAAGAACAUAUGUGUAAGUAACUGUGCACAUCUUGACGGUACCUAAUCAGAAAGCCACGGCUAACUACGUGCCAGCAGCCGCGGUAAUACGUAGGUGGCAAGCGUUAUCCGGAAUUAUUGGGCGUAAAGCGCGCGUAGGCGGUUUUUUAAGUCUGAUGUGAAAGCCCACGGCUCAACCGUGGAGGGUCAUUGGAAACUGGAAAACUUGAGUGCAGAAGAGGAAAGUGGAAUUCCAUGUGUAGCGGUGAAAUGCGCAGAGAUAUGGAGGAACACCAGUGGCGAAGGCGACUUUCUGGUCUGUAACUGACGCUGAUGUGCGAAAGCGUGGGGAUCAAACAGGAUUAGAUACCCUGGUAGUCCACGCCGUAAACGAUGAGUGCUAAGUGUUAGGGGGUUUCCGCCCCUUAGUGCUGCAGCUAACGCAUUAAGCACUCCGCCUGGGGAGUACGACCGCAAGGUUGAAACUCAAAGGAAUUGACGGGGACCCGCACAAGCGGUGGAGCAUGUGGUUUAAUUCGAAGCAACGCGAAGAACCUUACCAAAUCUUGACAUCCUUUGACAACUCUAGAGAUAGAGCCUUCCCCUUCGGGGGACAAAGUGACAGGUGGUGCAUGGUUGUCGUCAGCUCGUGUCGUGAGAUGUUGGGUUAAGUCCCGCAACGAGCGCAACCCUUAAGCUUAGUUGCCAUCAUUAAGUUGGGCACUCUAAGUUGACUGCCGGUGACAAACCGGAGGAAGGUGGGGAUGACGUCAAAUCAUCAUGCCCCUUAUGAUUUGGGCUACACACGUGCUACAAUGGACAAUACAAAGGGCAGCGAAACCGCGAGGUCAAGCAAAUCCCAUAAAGUUGUUCUCAGUUCGGAUUGUAGUCUGCAACUCGACUACAUGAAGCUGGAAUCGCUAGUAAUCGUAGAUCAGCAUGCUACGGUGAAUACGUUCCCGGGUCUUGUACACACCGCCCGUCACACCACGAGAGUUUGUAACACCCGAAGCCGGUGGAGUAACCUUUUAGGAGCUAGCCGUCGAAGGUGGGACAAAUGAUUGGGGUGAAGUCGUAACAAGGUAGCCGUAUCGGAAGGUGCGGCUGGAUCACCUCCUUUCU
rnacentral:rRNA from 1 species